UUUUUACGUAAAUUUAUUUACUUUGGUAGUAUUAGUUAUUUUCUUGAAACUUAAAGUAUUUGGCGGUAUUUUAUUCUUUUUAGAGGAAUCUGUUUCAUAAUUGAUAAUCCGCAUUGGACCUUACUUAUUUUAUUAGUAUGUAUAUCGCCGUUGUUAAUUAUCUUUUUAGAGUUAAAUUUUUAUUUUAUUAUUAUUAUUUAUUUCAGGUCAAGGUGCAAUUUAUAAAUAAGUAGAGAUGGAUUACAAUAUUUUUUGUAUAUUAUGGAAUAUUUAUUGUAAUUUAUUUAAAUAUGAAGGUGGAUUUAAUAGUAAUUUUAUGUAGAUUAUUAAUUUGAAUAUAGCUCUAUAAUAUGU
rnacentral:rRNA from 1 species